UAGGGAAUCUUGCGCAAUGGGCGAAAGCCUGACGCAGCCAUGCCGCGUGAAUGAUGAAGGUCUUAGGAUUGUAAAAUUCUUUCACCGGGGAAGAUAAUGACGGUACCCGGAGAAGAAGCCCCGGCUAACUUCGUGCCAGCAGCCGCGGUAAUACGAAGGGGGGCCUAGCGUUGCUCGGAAUUACUGGGCGUAAAGGGCGCGUAGGCGGAUAUCUAAGUUGGGGGUGAAAGCCCGGGGCUCAACCUCGGAAUAGCCUUCAAUACUGGAUAUCUUGAGUUCGGGGAGAGGUNAGUGGAAUACCGAGUGUAGAGGUGAAAUUCGUAGAUAUUCGGCGGAACACCAGUGGCGAAGGCGACUCACUGGCCCGAUACUGACGCUGAGGCGCGAAAGCGUGGGGAGCAACAGGAUUAGAUACCCUGGUAGUCCACGCCGUAAAACGAUGAGUGCUAGUUGUCGGCAUGCAUGCAUGUCGGUGACGCNGCUAACGCAUUAAGCACUCCGCCUGGGGAGUACGGUCGCAAGAUUAAAACUUAAAUGAAUUGACGGGGGUCAUAGCUGUUUCCUG
rnacentral:rRNA from 1 species